rnacentral:tRNA from 1 species
GAGCGAUUAGUUCAGUUUGGUUAGAACGCCAGCUCGACAAGCUGGAGGUCAUUGGUUCGAGUCCAAUAUCGCUCA